GUACCACACCAGAAGGUCAUUGUCAAGUAAAUGAUGAUUGUCCUUCCAACCAGGCUUGUGACGUCACCAUCAGGAAAUGUCAUGAUCCCUGUCUGGUUAAGGAAAUGUGUCACUCAAAUGCCCACUGCAAAGUGAGUAGUCAUAACCCUUACUGCUUCUGUCCAACAGGUUAUACUGGAGAUCCAAGAUCUGGUUGUCACAGAAUUCAAGGUUGCCAGACAGAUGAGAAUUGUCCAGGGAAUCUUGUUUGUUUAUCCAACAAGUAUUGUGGCUGUAGUGAACAGUUCAGUAGGAUAUUUGACUUUUGCAUUUGUAAGUUUUGUCAUUUAUAAUUUUUGUGCUUUG